CCGAGUGGUCGGGACGUUUAUUGGGCCUAAAGCAUCCGUAGCCGGUUCUACAAGUCUUCCGUUAAAUCCAACUGCUUAACAGGUGGGCUGCGGAAGAUACUAUAGAGCUAGGAGGCGGGAGAGGCAAGCGGUACUCGAUGGGUAGGGGUAAAAUCCGUUGAUCCAUUGAAGACCACCAGUGGCGAAGGCGGCUUGCCAGAACGCGCUCGACGGUGAGGGAUGAAAGCUGGGGGAGCAAACCGG
rnacentral:rRNA from 1 species